GACGAACGCUGGCGGCGUGCUUAACACAUGCAAGUCGAACGGGCCUGUCUUCUUUUUUGGGGGUGGGUUGAGUGGCGAACGGGUGAGUAUCACGUGAGUAACCUGCCCUUCGGUCCUGGAUAACCGCUUGAAAGGGCGGCUAAUACGGGGUGGUCCGGUUGGUCCGCAUGGGCUGGUCGGGAUAGAUUCACUGUUUUUGGUGUUUCGGCGGGGGAUGGGCUCGCGGCCUAUCAGCUUGUUGGUGGGGUGAUGGCCUACCAAGGCGGUGACGGGUAGCCGGCCUGAGAGGGUGGGCGGCCAGACGUGGACUGAGAUACGGCCCAGACUCCGGCGGGAGGCAGCAGUGGGGGGUAUUGCACAAUGGGCGGAAGCCUGAUGCAGCGACGUCGCGUGAGGGAUGGAGGCCUUCGGGUUGUGAACCUCUGUUUCCGGUGGUGAAGGCCCUGUCCGUGUGGUGGGGUUGACGGUAGCCGGGGAUGAAGCGCCGGCUAACUACGUG
rnacentral:rRNA from 1 species